ensembl:snoRNA
AUCCUUUUGUAGUUCGUAAACUCGAUGAUUGGGUUUUCACACUCUUAUGUGAGAUGCGUGA